CAGUCGCCGCGGUAAUACAGAGGGUGCGAGCGUUAAUCGGAUUUACUGGGCGUAAAGCGCACGUAGGCGGCUUUGUAAGUCAGAGGUGAAAGCCCGGGGCUCAACCCCGGAAUUGCCUUUGAGACUGCAUCGCUUGAAUCCAGGAGAGGUGAGUGGAAUUCCGAGUGUAGAGGUGAAAUUCGUAGAUAUUCGGAAGAACACCAGUGGCGAAGGCGGCUCACUGGACUGGUAUUGACGCUGAGGUGCGAAAGCGUGGGGAGCAAACAGGAUUAGAUACCCCCGUAGUCCCUGUCUCUUAUAC
rnacentral:rRNA from 1 species